UACGUAGGGGGCUAGCGUUGUCCGGAAUCAUUGGGCGUAAAGAGCGCGUAGGCGGCCAGAUAAGUCCGGUGUGAAAGUCACAGGCUCAACCUGUGAAUGCCGCUGGAAACUGUAUGGCUAGAGUCCGGAAGGGGCGAGUGGAAUUCCUGGUGUAGCGGUGAAAUGCGUAGAUAUCUGAAGGAACAUCAGUGGCGAAAGCGAACUUCCUGGACCAAUACUGACGCUCAUGUGCGAAAGCGUGGGGAGCAAACAGG
rnacentral:rRNA from 1 species